rnacentral:rRNA from 2 species
GCAGUCGAACGCGUUGGCCCAACUGAUUGAACGUGCUUGCACGGACUUGACGUUGGUUUACCAGCGAGUGGCGGACGGGUGAGUAACACGUAGGUAACCUGCCCCAAAGCGGGGGAUAACAUUUGGAAACAGAUGCUAAUACCGCAUAACAAUUUGAAUCGCAUGAUUCAAAUUUAAAAGAUGGCUUCGGCUAUCACUUUGGGAUGGACCUGCGGCGCAUUAGCUUGUUGGUAGGGUAACGGCCUACCAAGGCUGUGAUGCGUAGCCGAGUUGAGAGACUGAUCGGCCACAAUGGAACUGAGACACGGUCCAUACUCCUACGGGAGGCAGCAGUAGGGAAUCUUCCACAAUGGGCGCAAGCCUGAUGGAGCAACACCGCGUGAGUGAAGAAGGGUUUCGGCUCGUAAAGCUCUGUUGUUAGAGAAGAACGUGCGUGAGAGCAACUGUUCACGCAGUGACGGUAUCUAACCAGAAAGUCACGGCUAACUACGUGCCAGCAGCCGCGGUAAUACGUAGGUGGCAAGCGUUAUCCGGAUUUAUUGGGCGUAAAGCGAGCGCAGGCGGUUUGAUAAGUCUGAUGUGAAAGCCUUUGGCUUAACCAAAGAAGUGCAUCGGAAACUGUCAGACUUGAGUGCAGAAGAGGACAGUGGAACUCCAUGUGUAGCGGUGGAAUGCGUAGAUAUAUGGAAGAUCACCAGUGGCGAAAGCGGCUGUCUGGUCUGCAACUGACGCUGAGCUCGAAAGCAUGGGUAGCGAACAGGAUUAGAUACCCUGGUAGUCCAUGCCGUAAACGAUGAGUGCUA